AUCCGAUGAGUUCAGAACCCAUUAUCUGAUCAUGGGUUGAUGAUCACUGCUACUGAUACACAUGAUAGAAGGUCCUUCAUGAUGUCGAGUAGCUACACAGUGUGUCUGACCUCUACAGGUGAUUCACUCGAAGCUCCGAAUAGAUCAUCCUUUCCGAGAGUGCUAGCUCGCGAUGAAGGCUCUGGAUGGCUGAUGAAGAUCUCUUUCUUCAGAUCA
rnacentral:lncRNA from 1 species